GACGAACGCUGGCGGCGUGCCUAAUACAUGCAAGUCGUGCGGACCUUGUUGAAAGCUUGCUUUUAAAAGGUUAGCGGCGGACGGGUGAGUAACACGUGGGCAACCCGCCUGUAAGACUGGGAUAACGCCGGGCAACCGGGGCUAAUACCAGAUCGUUUUUUCCUCCGCAUGGAGGAAAAAGGAAAGGCGGCUUCGGCUGCCACUUACAGAUGGGCCCGCGGCGCAUUAGCUAGUUGGCGGGGUAAUGGCCCACCAAGGCAACGAUGCGUAGCCGACCUGAGAGGGUGAUCGGCCACAUUGGGACUGAGACACGGCCCAAACUCCUACGGGAGGCAGCAGUAGGGAAUCUUCCGCAAUAGACGAAAGUCUGACGGAGCAACGCCGCGUGAGUGAAGAAGGCCUUCGGGUCGUAAAACUCUGUUGCCGGGGAAGAACAAGUGCCGUUCGAACAGGGCGGCGCCUUGACGGUACCCGGCCAGAAAGCCACGGCUAACUACGUG
rnacentral:rRNA from 1 species